ACCAACUCCAAGAAAAGUGAGCAGAAAAAUUUAACGAAAUUUCCAUAAACUGCUCAGUUUCCUCAGAGCUGUUCAAACUGCUACAGCCAAAUCUAUUCUCUGUUGAAAGCUAACAAACUCGUGGUCGUAAUUGCGCUACUAUAUUUUUGA